rnacentral:rRNA from 2 species
UGGGGAAUAUUGCACAAUGGGGGAAACCCUGAUGCAGCGACGCCGCGUGAGUGAAGAAGUAUUUCGGUAUGUAAAGCUCUAUCAGCAGGGAAGAUAAUGACGGUACCUGACUAAGAAGCCCCGGCUAACUACGUGCCAGCAGCCGCGGUAAGACGUAGGGGGCAAGCGUUAUCCGGAUUUCCUGGGUGUAAAGGGAGCGUAGACGGCAUAGCAAGUCUGAAGUGAAAUGCGGGGGCUCAACCCCUGAACUGCUUUGGAAACUGCUUAGCUAGAGUGCAGGAGAGGUAAGUGGAAUUCCUAGUGUAGCGGUGAAAUGCGUAGAUAUUAGGAGGAACAUCAGUGGCGAAGGCGACUUACUGGACGAUAACUGACGCUGAGGCUCGAAAGCGUGGGGAGCAAACAGG